CUUCAGGGCAGGGUGCAAUUCCCGACCGGCGGUAAGAAGCCAGCGCUUCAAGUCCGCGAACCGCACAAAGUGCGGCCGAUCCGGUGAGAUUCCGGGACCGACAGUACAGUCUGGAUGAAAGAAGGA
rnacentral:ncRNA from 1 species